rnacentral:rRNA from 1 species
GGGUUCUAUUCCCAAACCGUGUAUACAUACCUUUGUUGCUUUGGUAGGCCGCCUUCUAGGCGUCGGCUCCGGCUGACUGCGCCUGCCAGAGGACCCAAACUCGUUUGUUUAGUGAUGUCUGAGUACUAUAUAAUAGUUAAAACUUUCAACAACGGAUCUCUUGGUUCUGGCAUCGAUGAAGAACGCAGCGAAAUGCGAUAAGUAAUGUGAAUUGCAGAAUUCAGUGAAUCAUCGAAUCUUUGAACGCACCUUGCACCCUUUGGUAUUCCGAAGGGUAUGCUCGUUUGAGUGUCAUUAUACUCUCACACUCUCUGAUUAGAGAGCGGUGGACGUGGAUGUUGCCUGGUGCUUGUUGUCAGGCUCAUCUGAAAUGAGUUAGUACGACUCCUAGUUAAACAUAGUACGGCGUUAUAACUAAACCCUCGCUGUUUUUUUGUCUGAUUAGGAGCCUUGUGCUUCGAACCGUCUUCGGACAAUAUCUGAUAACUUGACCUCAAAUCGAGUAGGAUUACCCGCUGAACUUAAGCAUAUCAAUAAGCGGAGGAAA